UCGUGAGGCCUGUGAGUGUCUAGGGUUGUCCUGGGUGCCUGGGGCUGACUGUGGCAGAAAUCUGGGGAAGGCUGGAGAGAAGCUGGGAGACCCAGGAGAGUCCCUGAAGGCAGGGGGUGAAGAGGUGAAAGAAAUGGGGGAGGGUUGCAGUAAGGUCCGUGAGUUUGUAGGUGAUUCCUGGGUGCGGGAAGCUGACUCCAGGUGAAAUCUGGAGAUGGUUGGAGAGUAGCUGAGAGAGACAGAAGAGUACCUGAGGGCUGGGGGUGAGAACAUGAGGGAGACUGGGGAGUAAGUCAGUGAAAUUCGUGAGUUCGGGGGUGUAUCGUGGUUGCCUGGAACUGACACCAGCUGGAAUCUAGAGAAGUUUUGAGAGUAGCUGAAAGAGACACAAGAGUCCCUAUGGGCUGAGGGCAAAGACCUGAGAGAAACCAGGGAGGACCUCAGUGAAGUCUGUGAGUCCGUAGGUGAUUCUGGAGUGUGGGAGGCUGACUCCGGC
rnacentral:lncRNA from 1 species